GUUGUGGCUCUCUAUAUAUAGCAACAAACAGAGGAGUUUAUUGGCAGUGAGCAACUAGGAACAUAAGAAGAAGCAGAAAUAGAAAAAAGUAGUUCCUUCAUUCUCAUGGCACACACUAACAGUACAAGAUGGCCAAUGGUGGUGCGCUCCAUGGCUAUUGCUUUCCUGGUGCUGGCCAUGAUGUUUUUUACCUUCCCAUCCUGCCAUGCGCGCACUCGUAUGUUGCAGUAUAUACCCCUAUUUUGUUGUGCAUCCUAUUGUUCAAAUUGAACAACCUAUCUCUAAUAUAUCUUGUUUGAUUUGUAUCUACAGCUGCAUCUACAAAAUAUUUAUAUCAUGGAUUUUGCAAGACUCUCAAUCCCUGCAAUAAGGACAGCUGCUAUGAUCUGUGUACAAGUAAAAGACAAAACUACGCAUAUUCCUAUUGCAAGGACGAUGUUAAGAUUCCAACGUGUUGCUGCACAUACACUGAUGGUUCUCCUGCUUGAGUCAUACAAUGUUGAAUACAUUUAUAUUUGAUUUCAAUAAAGAUGUUUUUAAUCAAUCGAGUUAAUUAGGGAGGUCAUAGGGCACUCUCAGUUCCCAUUUCACUUGUACCAAAAAGCAUGCCACCAAGGUUUACAUAUACUUGAUGACCCAGGCACCAACUGGCGCAGAGACGAAAUGCAGCCCAUAAGUAGUUGAGUAUAGUAGCAAAUUUUUGAUUAAUUUGAUCCAGGAAAUAAUCGUGAGCAUGGCAUUAACAAUGUUGAACAUAUAUUGAUAUUCGAUCAUGUAAGCAUAUACUACGCAAACAACAGACACAUCUAUGUAUGGUGCUUGCUAGUAUGGCUAACAAGAAAUGAUCAAGAGCGGGGAGAAACGGAAUAUUAUAGUAUGUUUUUCUAAUUCUUGAUUUACCAAGUUUUUUGACAACCACGGUAUUCUUUUUUUAGGAACAUUAGCAGGUGCUCUGCUUUUUCAUUAAGUAAGGGCAAGAGAAUUACAUGUUACAAAAGAGGUCAAGUCUAAAAGGAGAGUCCGUUUGCAAGAGCAGUGACGGCUAUACAGGGAGUAGAAACGCUACAUCUCUCGCGCCUCCAGAAGGAGGCCAGUGCUUUCUCUGAUAUAUAUAGAUGUUUGUAGCGCCGAGACUGCAUGCUGUUGGAAAAUGUGGCCAUUGCAUACUUUCCAGAUGUGCCAAACAGUGUAGGCCGCAGUGGUCUUGUCCAUGCGGCACAAAUUGCUCCACAUCCGUUAAUAGUUGUCUUGGAUAGGGCUGCUCUGGAUGCUUGCUGAAAAUUGGUUGCUGUGCGCAUCCAGACCUCUUUGACGAAAGGGCACAGCAAGAAAAGGUGAGAGGUGCACUCCAGCGAUUGAUCACAUAAAGGGCAGACCGAAUGGUUUGGCCAACCCCUAGCACUGAGCCGAUCAGAGGUCCACAGUCUAUUUUGUAGCAGCAACCAAAUAAAAAAUAUGACCUUGGGUUUGAUCUUGAGUCUCCAGACUUGAUUCAACACAGGAGCUUGGAUGCGGCGGACGAAUUGCACCGCGUAGGCAGAGGAGGCAGUGUAUUGACCGCCUGCCGUGAGAUUCCAGCGUAUACUGAUGCGUCUCCAACGUAUCUAUAAUUUUUGAUUGCUCCAUGCUAUAUUAUCUUCUAUUUUGGACAUUAUUAAGCUUUAUUAUUUACUUUUAUAUUAUUUUUGAGACUAACCUAUUAACCGGAGGCCUAACCCAAAAUUGCUGUUUUUUGCCUAUUUCAGAGUUUCGCAGAAAAAAAAUAUCAAACAAAGUCCAAACGGAAUGAAACCUUCGGGAACGUUAUUUUCGGAACGAACAUGAUCCAGGAGACAUGGAACAUACGUCAAGCAACCAACAGGGAAGCCACGAGGUAGGGGGGCACGCCUACCCCCCCAGGCGCGCCCUCCACCCCCGUGGGCCCCCUAUUGCUCCACCGACGUAUUCCUUCCUCCUAUAUAUACCUACGUACCCCCAAACGACCAGAUACGGAGCCAAAACCCUAAAUCCAUUGUUGUAACUUUCUGUAUCCACGAGAUCCCAUCUUAGGGCCUGUUCCAGAGCUCCGACGGAGGGGGCAUCGAUCACGGAGGGCUUCUACAUCAACACCAUAGCCUCUCCGAUGAUGUGUGAGUAGUUUACCUCAGACCUUCGGGUCCAUAGUUAUUAGCUAGAUGGCUUUUUCUCUCUUUUUGGAUCUCAAUACAAUGUUCUCCCCCUCUCUCGUGGAGAUCUAUUCGAUGUAAUCUUCUUUUGCGGUGUGUUUGUUGAGACCGG
rnacentral:lncRNA from 1 species